AGAACCUACACUCGUCGGAACAAGACAAAUACAACCAUUGAGCAUGAUAUAAUUGAUUAGCCAAAACCUCUAGAUUCAACUCUUGAACAUUCUGGGCCUAAAUAAUUAUGUGGUGAGCCUCUUCCUUCUGAUACUCCUUCUAAUACUUUUGUUGAUAACCUUGAUAUACCCAUUGCUCUCAAAAAAGGAGUUAGGACUUGCACUA
rnacentral:misc_RNA from 1 species